rnacentral:rRNA from 1 species
CGUGAGGGAAAGGUGAAAAGAACCCCGGGAGGGGAGUGAAAGAGAACCUGAAACCCUGUGUCUACAAGCUGCGGAAGAGCGACUAACGCUCGACCGUGUACUUUUUGUAGAACGGUCCGGCGAGUUGCCGUUGCUGGCAGGUUAAGUACUUAAGGUACGGAGCCGAAGGGAAACCAAGUCUUAACAGGGCGGUAAGUCAGUAACGGCAGACCCGAAACCGGGUGACCUACCCAUGGCCAGGAUGAAGUCUGCGUAAAAGUGGAUGGAGGUCCGAACACACGUCUGUUGAAAAAGGCGGUGAUGAGCUGUGGGUAGCGGAGAAAUUCCAAUCGAACUCGGAGAUAGCUGGUUCUCCCCGAAAUAGCUUUAGGGCUAGCCUCGGUAUAGUCUAAUGGAGGUAGAGCACUGAAUCGCUGCGGGGGCGUCAAAGUCUACCAAUGCGUAUCAAACUCCGAAUGCCAUAUAGAUGUUUACCGGGAGUCAGACUGUAUGAGAUAAGUCGGACAGUCAAAAGGGAAACAGCCCAGACCAUCUGCUAAGGUCCCAAAGUGUAUGUUAAGUGGUAAAGGAUGUGGGGUUUCGAAGACAACUAGGAUGUUGGCUCAGAAGCAGCCAUUCAUUCAAAGAGUGCGUAAUAGCUCACUAGUCGAGAGGUCCUGCGCCGAAAAUGUCCGGGGCUGAAACAUAACACCGAAGCAAUGGAAUAUACCGCAAGGUAUGUUGGUAGGGGAGCAUUGAUAACACGAAGAAGCGGUACCGUAAGGAGCCGUGGAGAGUUAUCAAGAGAGAAUGCCGGAAUGAGUAGCGAGAUGAAGGUGAGAAUCCUUCAGGCCGUAUAUCCAAGGUUUCCAGGGUAAAGCUGAUCUUCCCUGGGGAAGUCGGGACCUAAGCUCAGGCUGAGAAGCGUAGGCGAUGGACAACUGGUUGAUAUUCCAGUACCUCUGGCUGUCAGAAAUGUGGGGACACGGAAAUUCAGGAAGUGCCUGUAAAGGAUUCAGGUGCAAGCAUGGUUUAUGCCGGGCAGGCAAAUCCGCCCGGGUAAGUGGACUGUGUGACGCGGACCGAAAUAUAAGUAGGGAAGCUUCUGGGAGAGCCGUCGAGAAAAGCCGCUAUUGUGCAGCCAGAGCCCGUACCGUAAACCGACACAGGUGGAUGGGGAGAGUAUCCCAAGGCCGGCGGGAGAAGCAUUGUUAAGGAACUCGGCAAAAUGGCCCCGUAAGUUCGCGAUAAGGGGUGCCUGUAGAGAUACAGGCCGCAGAGAAUAGGCUCAAGCAACUGUUUAGCAAAAACACAGGUCUAUGCGAAACCGUAAGGUGAUGUAUAUGGGCUGACGCCUGCCCGGUGCUGGAAGGUUACGGGGAGUGCUUAGGAGCAAUCCGAAGGUACGAACUUAAGCCCCAGUAAACGGCGGCCGUAACUAUAACGGUCCUAAGGUAGCGAAAUUCCUUGUCGGGU